rnacentral:rRNA from 1 species
UACAGAGGGUGCGAGCGUUGUCCGGAAUCACUGGGCGUAAAGGGCGCGUAGGUGGCGCGGCAAGUCAACGGUGAAAGCUCGACGCUCAACGUCGAGUCGGCCGUCGAUACUGCUGGGCUUGAGCACUGUAGAGGCAGAUGGAAUUCCGGGUGUAGCGGUGGAAUGCGUAGAGAUCCGGAAGAACACCGGUGGCGAAGGCGGCCUGCUGGGCAGUGGCUGACGCUGAGGCGCGACAGCGUGGGGAGCAAACAGG